CCCAGAAUCCCUGAAGAGUGACCUGUCCAGGGAUCCCCUAAACAUCUUCCUAAGCGGUGUCCUGAGGACCGGGUUCAGCACCCUGAAGGUGAAUCCACAGAGCGCCAGUGAGCAGCUCUUCAGAAAGGUGGAGGGAUUGGAAAACAGCCCUCUGGAGCCCAAAUCCAUCCUCCUUGUGCCCAGACCUUUGCCUGGACCUUCAGCGUUGAGUCUACGAAAGGAAGAUGUCCUGGAGCUUUGGGUGAUUGGACAAGUCCCCGUCACUGGGGCCGGGGAGAAAGGACUUGAGAAAAGCCAGACGUUAAGACCAGCCUUGAGGAGAGGUGGCCACGGAGGCCUCCUGGCUCCUCGUGCUUGAAGAGAGAGCUCUGCUCUCUCAAGAUUUUGUCCUUCCGCCAAUGAGAAGGGUGAAGGAGGAGGUGGAGGGAGUGACAUCUGGGCACCUGACGGCCAAGUCCCAGGGAAACAACCAAAAAGAACCCUAAUGAAUGUCCAAAGAGGAGACUUCGGCAGCAGGCAGAAAGCUUGGAAGAAGCAUUCGCUGGACAGGGCUAGGGCAGAAUGGGAAGAUGACUGGAUCCUGGCCCAGGUCCUACCCCUGGUGAACCUGGGAAUUGGUGACGUUCCAGGAUGUGGCUGUGGACUUCACCCAGGAGGAGUGGGGGCGCUUGGAGCCGGCCCAGAAGGACCUGUACAGGGAGGUGAUGCUGGAGAACUAUCAGAACUUUGUCUCCCUUGGGCUUCCUGUUUACAAACCACAAGUGAUUUCUCAGUUGGAGAGAGGUGAAGCCCUAUGGCUCCCAGAGGGAGAUGUACCAAGAUGCACAUUUCUAGUGCUACCACCUGACAGAUUUACAGAAGAUCAGAGUUGGAAGAGGCAAUCAGAAGCCAUGUGGUGUCACUCAUACUGGAGGAAGAAUUCCCUCUAUAGCAGCCCUCAUAAGUGGCUGCCUCUUCCCUCGAGAACAAGGGUCUUGACCUUUUCUGUGACCCGAAUGCCUUUGGUGUCUGGCGACACCUUGUCCAAAGGAUCCCUUUCUCACAAUAUGAAAAAAAAAUACGUAUGAUUAUGAAGGGGGGAGUUUGGGGUGCUCUUAGAUGCACAGAGGCACCCCAAGAUCGUGGGGAAAGGCCCAAAUCACG